AUGGCCUGGGCCUUUCUCAUCCUCUCGUUGCUCAAUUACUGCUCAGGUUCUCUUGCCCAGUACGUGCUGACUCAGCCACCUGCAGUUUCUGUGUCUCUAGGACAAAAUGCUCAACUCACCUGCACAGGAGAAAAAGUUGACAAACAGUAUGUGCACUGGGUCCAGCAGAAACCUGGCCACGCCCCCGUACUCAUUAUAUACAAAGAUAGUGAGAGACCAUCCGGAAUCCCUGAGCGAUUCUCUGGGGCCAUCUCCGGUAAAACAGCCACAUUAACCAUCACUGGAGUCCAGGCACAGGACGAGCCUGAUUAUUACUGUCAGCACUGGCACAAAGACAGUAACACUACUCACAGUGACACAGCCAGAUGGGGAAGUGAGACAAAAACUGCCCGUUGA